AUGAAAUUUUAAAACCCUUACCAGGUACCAAGCUACUGCUGUGAGGGAAAUCUCCUGUUCCAAGCCUACUUUUGGAUGCAGAGAACUCUCCACAUCUGGCUCUUAGCCUGACAGAAGUGAAUCACUAGGAUGCAGUAUUGUCAUAUGGAUUGCAGGGCCCUCCAGCCCUCCCAGGUUCCAGGAAGGCAUGGAAUCAUUCUGUAUAUCCUAAAAUAUCUGUUGUGAUGCCUAAUAUGUAGCAACGACCCAAAUAUUUGAUAAAUGAAUGAACAAAAACAAUCACUGAGCCAUUAUUAGACCCAAGUCUAUGUUCUCGAAGCUGGUAUUUCAAUUUUUAAAAAGUCCAUUCAAAAUUCUUAGCUGCCAAGAAGAAACUUGAGUAGUG
rnacentral:lncRNA from 1 species